GUGCGCCCCACAAUGUCUAGGACACAUUGAGGUGUUGCGGUGCCAGAAUCUUCAUUUGAGCCGUUUUCACCAGACUACAUGGUGCCUGUCUUACCACCAGUUUCAGUGCUUCUUUGUCGAAAAUGACAAAGGUUCCUUCAUUGCCACUGUCGUCGCAAACUUUAACCUCGAACCGGCGGUGCAGGAGAUGAAGUACCAACCAUAUUCUUCCAUGACAUCCGUUAUUGUUGCAGUGCAAAUGAAGCUAGCAACCUGAAUGUUUAGAUGGGUGUAAAUACUAAGA